GCCAGGGCAGGGAGAAGGGUUGGAAAGCAUAUACUUGGCAGAGAGAUAAUAAAUGGAAGAUGCCGAGGAUGUGGAGAAAUACAGAAAGCAGGUAGUGCCACGUGUGUCACUACCUGGCGAUCACCCAUCGCAUCUUCGCCUUCCAUCCCAUCAUCUCCUUCCCUCCCUCCUCCCUCUCGCAGUUUUUCCCCCUUAAGCUUUUGCCUAGGGCGCUCUUCUUCUUGCUUUUCCCUUUCUAAUACCUAUUCAUUCUCAUCAACCUAAGAAAAAUUUCCUUUCUUUUCGUUUCGUUUUCUACAGAUUUUGACAGAGAGAGAACAGAGAGUUAUGCUUUUUUUGGGGUUUGCUAUGAUCAGGUCUAUUUUAGCUGUUGCAUCGAGCCUGGAUUCUGCGGUUCAAGGGGAGGUUUUGUAAUUGGAAAUUUUUAUAUUAAAUUUAGGGUUUUUUUUUUGGGUGGGCUGGUUUUGGAAUUGGCAGCCACUAUUGGUAGCGGAAGAUUUGAUAAUUAGGUUCUUCUAAUUAGCUGCCAAAUGGAAAAUCUAUUCAUUUGUUUUUUAGGAAUAAUUGAGAAGUCUGGUUAUGCAUUUGAGUUUGGAAAUUUUGUUAGCUGUAUGUUAUGAGAGUGAUACCUCCAUGUGUAAUAAAAGCAUCGAGUGCUUGAACAAUACUCGUAACUCUGUUGAUAACCAGCAAAACCCUCACCAAGCUCUUCACUUGAUGGAUAUCCCAACAUCUGCCCCUUCCACUGGCUCCAACCUAGGUUCAUAUGAUGAAACCCCCCGUGUUAAGUUCUUGUGUAGCUUCUUAGGUAGCAUUAUGCCUCGACCUCAGGAUGGGAAAUUGCGUUAUGUGGGUGGAGAGACGAGAAUUGUGAGUUUGCCAAGGGAUAUUUGUUAUGAGGAAUUGAUGAGUAAAAUGAAGGAGUUGUAUGAAGGGGUGGCUAUUUUGAAAUAUCAACAGCCUGAUGAGGAUCUUGAUGCCUUGGUGUCGGUUGUGAAUGAUGAUGAUGUGACUAACAUGAUGGAGGAGUAUGAGAAGUUGGGUUCUGGGGAUGGAUUCACUAGGCUUAGGAUUUUUCUGUUUUCACAUCCGGACCAAGACGGUUCAUCACAUUAUGUUGAUGGGGAUGAGAGGGAGUCUGAGAGAAGGUAUGUCGAUGCACUGAAUAAUUUGAAUGAUGGGGCUGAUUUUAGACGGCAGCAACCUGAGUCUCCUUUGAUUAGUCCAGUUGAAGAUAUACAUGUACAGGAUCAGCUUUUUAGUGCAAUGAAUCUUGACAGUGGCCUUCUUAGCCAGAGGAAUGGUGAGAUGCCAAUUCUACAGUACAACUUGCAUCACAUUGCAGUUCCUCAGCGGUUCAGUGAAAUGGAAGGUUCAUGGAGUCCUGCAUUUUAUUCUCCUAGGCAUCAUGGGCACCAUGAUCCAAGAUCAGUACCAGACUUUCCAAAUUCACCCCCUUCUCGGUAUCGUAUGCAGUUUGGGGAAUUGCCUGACAGAGGCAUGGAUAGAAUAUCUGAAGAAUAUGCUCGGUCUCAACUAAAUCAUCAUGCUGCUUUUGACAACCAGCCACCGUAUUCUGAGAAUGUAGUAUGGAUGCCUUCUGGAGCUAUAUCCAGUGACAAGGCUGGUUUUCCUGGUAACUUGCUGCAUGGUCCCAGUGUUAUUGAUGGGAACAAUGCUUGUGAGCACCGUCGGGUGGCUUUCCAAAGAAGUCAACUUCAUUUGGAGCAACCCAACAUAGGAAAUGCGCUUCACCAGGUUGCUAAUCCUUGUGCUGAGUGCCAUCCCAAUAGGGAACAUUUCAUGUUAAAUGCUGAUCCAAAGGUUCACCAUGCGUUGUAUCUCAAAGAUCAAAAUGAUCCUCGAUCCAUCUACAGUGAAGCUUAUGGCCAUGAAAGAGGAUGGAAUCUGCAGCAUCAGUCAGGUCCUUGUGCUGAUGAAGCAAGAACACAGAUCUCUGGAGCUGGAAGAUUAAACGAGCACUACGUUAUAGAUGGUCCUGGCAUGAAUUAUCCUAUUGGGCAUGCCAAUUUGGUGGAUGGCCAUCAUAUGUCCUCUAAUUAUAUACAUCAUCGACCUGGGCAUGAAUUGAGUAAUGAAGUGUUUCACGACCAAGCUGUGGCUGCUUCACACCUACAAGUUCCACUUCCUGAAGAACGUGCAGUUCGGUAUGGGAAUUUUCCUUAUGCUUUUGGAACAGAGAAUCUUUACCCAAUGUCACAUGGACAUUUACAUCCUCAGAAUAUAUGGCGAAAUCUUCAAAACCCUGUGCAUGGCCCUCCUUAUGAAACAUCUGGCACAACCUCACAGGUGAAUGGUACAGUUAAUCCAGCACUUCUCAGGGGCACAAUGGAGGGUGGUCAAAGGAUUGCUUCUAGUAUGGAUAAUCAGCACUCUAGGGCAGAGUCCUCACCAAAUAUUUUGGGGUUUGAUGGGACAACUACCCCAGACUACUCUUAUGGCCAUCCUUUGAAAUUGGCUACAAAUCACUAUAGCCCAGAUAAUAAGCAGUUGCUUGCUGCUGAAACUACCCGACCAACCCUCCCACGUGAAAUGCAGAACUCAUCUCCAAUUUCAGGUGCUUCUGGUUACAGUCCAGAGUUAAAUAGCAGAACUAUUGCUGAAGCAGUAAAAAUGGAUGAGAAAACUGUCAUUAGCAUGGACAAAGAAGCAAAUUAUGUAGAAAAGGUUGAAAACUUAGAUGUGCCAAACAUUCUGCAUCCAGAGCAAAACAUGGUUGCUCAUAGCAAUAGUGAGGCUGCAGUAGUUGAGGCUGCCCAUUUAAAUAUUUUGAGGAAUACUGAAGGAAGUGGUGACAUUGUGAAAGUGGGUCAAAAAGAUCCUUCUGCUGUUAUGGGAGAUACAAAGCUAUCAAUUGACCGAUUAAGUUUCUUGCCUGAGCUUAUUGCCAAUAUGAAAAAAGCAGCACUGGAAGAGGCUGAGGAGGUGAAAGCUAUAGUCAAAGAAAAUCCUGAUUCUGUAAAGCUUAGUCCUGUAUCAAAAGAAGCAACUCUAAAUGAAUCUGAAGCAGUGAAUGCUCAAGAAGAAACAGAAUUGGAUUCUGAUAAUGAAAAUAUAAAUUCUAACAAAAUUGAGCCAACAAAGGCUGAGGCAGAAGCUAUUGAAAGGGGAUUACAGACAAUAAAAAAUGAUGACCUGGAGGAGAUCCGCGAAUUAGGUUCUGGAACAUAUGGAGCUGUUUACCACGGAAAAUGGAAGGGUUCUGAUGUUGCUAUAAAGAGAAUAAAAGCCAGCUGCUUUGCUGGGAAGCCUUCUGAAAGAGAGCGUUUGAUUACAGAUUUCUGGAAGGAGGCUUUAAUAUUGAGUUCAUUACACCAUCCAAAUGUUGUUUCUUUCUAUGGCAUAGUUCGUGAUGGCCCUGAUGGAUCUUUAGCAACUGUGACAGAGUUUAUGGUUAAUGGAUCUCUGAAACAGUUUUUGCAGAAGAAAGACAGGUAACUAAGCUGAUGAUGAUGUUGUGGGUUUGCAUUUUCUAAAUUUUGGCUAUCAUUUGUUACUAGUUGUUGUUUAUAUUAUAUAUGAGUGUUCCACAAAAGGCAAAACUUAUUGACAAAGAGAAAAAGAUUGAAAGCUAAGCAAUUUUGGAAUGAAGAUCUGGGUGACACUUUAAUGCCAUUGGACAGAACCAUAGAUCGUCGCAAGAGACUCAUCAUAGCUAUGGAUGCUGCAUUUGGGAUGGAGUAUUUGCAUGGGAAGAACAUUGUUCAUUUUGAUUUGAAGUGCGAAAACUUGUUAGUAAAUAUGAGAGAUCCACAACGGCCUGUUUGCAAGAUUGGUGAUUUGGGCUUAUCAAAGGUGAAACAACACACCUUGGUGUCAGGUGGUGUACGUGGAACUUUACCCUGGAUGGCACCUGAGCUUUUGAGCGGAAAAAGCCACAUGGUGACAGAGAAGAUUGAUGUAUACUCAUUUGGGAUUGUUAUGUGGGAAUUACUCACGGGGGAAGAACCUUAUGCUGGUAUGCAUUGCGCCUCCAUAAUUGGAGGGAUUGUGAACAACUCUCUACGUCCACAAAUCCCAACAUGGUGUGAUCCGGAAUGGAAGUCAUUAAUGGAAAGUUGCUGGGCCUCUGAUCCGGCAGAGAGGCCAUCGUUUUCAGAAGUUUCAAGGAAACUGAGGAACAUGGCUGCUGCAAUUAAUGUGAAAUAAUUCCAUUCCUGGAGCAGUUGAUUUCACUUUGACUAUCUUACUGGCUGAAAAGGUUAAAAAAAUAAGAAAAAUAAAGAGGAAAACCUUGAUUUCUAUGUUUAAUGACACCUACAGGUUUUAAAGCAUAUUCAAGCUAAUAGUAUUGUUGUGCCUUUGAUUCAUCUUCUGUGAAGCUUUUAGCUAUGGGAUGGGGUUGUUCCUUCCAGAGUGCAAUCCCAUGCAUUCUACACUGGAAACCUUGAAGCUACACGAUACAUGAAGGGCUGUGGAUGUACAAUUAGAACGUCCUUUGUUUCUUUGAGCAUGAUCAAAAUAGCAGUACUAUGGGUAAUUUCUACUAUCAUUAGAUAUGGGACCAAGUUCUUUCAGGAAGAAUGUGUGUAACCAUCUAGGAUUUUCUAAGCUUCACUUGGGAAGGAUGAUGAUGAAACUUGGAACAAAACUCGUCUUGAACUUCCGUUUUUUUGUUUCUUUAAAAGGCCUUGAUUCCUUUCUUUUGAAUUCUACAUCUGUAAUCUUCAUGUUUAUAUAUAUAUAUAUAUAUAUAAUAUACAUUUUUUACUUUAAUUUUUUGCUAGUGUGACUGAAUACUAAUGACUUACAAAUGG
rnacentral:misc_RNA from 1 species